rnacentral:rRNA from 1 species
AGCGAACGCUGGCGGCAGGCCUAACACAUGCAAGUCGAACGAGACUUUCGGGUCUAGUGGCGGACGGGUGAGUAACACGUGGGAACGUGCCUUUAGGUUCGGAAUAACUCAGGGAAACUUGUGCUAAUACCGAAUGUGCCCUUCGGGGGAAAGAUUUAUCGCCUUUAGAGCGGCCCGCGUCUGAUUAGCUAGUUGGUGAGGUAAUGGCUCACCAAGGCUACGAUCAGUAGCUGGUCUGAGAGGAUGAUCAGCCACAUUGGGACUGAGACACGGCCCAAACUCCUACGGGAGGCAGCAGUGGGGAAUCUUGCGCAAUGGGCGAAAGCCUGACGCAGCCAUGCCGCGUGUAUGAUGAAGGUCUUAGGAUUGUAAAAUACUUUCACCGGUGAAGAUAAUGACUGUAGCCGGAGAAGAAGCCCCGGCUAACUUCGUGCCAGCCGCCGCGGUAA